UUUUCCAUCAGAAGCCAAGUUUAGGUGGGAUGGGGUGGCAGGUUUGACCGGUGCCUCGUUGUGUGGCAGGUCUGGCCCUCCAGUACUGCUUGGGGUGCAUGGCAGCUCCGUGUUUCUCCCUGCGUUUGCCUCCCCCAACAUGCGGAGGAAGGACCUGGUAACCCACCUCUGUUCCUCCCAUGACUUGCCUUGAAAACCACACAAUGGGUCGGGUUUGACUCAGCCAGCAUGUACGUACGCACCCAAGUUUAUCCCUAUGUUUUCUGCCAUCUGCAGUGUCUGAACCCACACAAAAAGUUUGGGAAUGUGUGUACAUUCUCCCCACAAGUAAAACAUAUUAACUGCUGCAGGAGCGUAACAGUGAUUAGAGCUGCUGACUACAGACCCAAAGGUCAUAUGUUCAUAUCCUCCCUCAAGCUGCAAUAUUGUUGAUUAAGGUACUAACCCUCAGUUGUUUGAGUAAGAUUACCCAGCUGUAUAAAUGGAUAAAUAACUACAAGUAGAUUAACAUAAGUCUCUUUGGAGAAACAUAUCAGUUAAAUGAAUAAAUGUAAAGAUCCAGUACAUCUCACUUAAGGUUAUACCGAUGCUGCUGUUACAACAACCUCAGAUUCUUCUACCCUUUCUUCGGUAUUCUUUCCAGAAUGAUCCACAUUGCCUCAAACCCCUUGUCCUCCUGCACAGCCUCUUUCUUUAUUAUUAGAACACGGCCUAGUGGUUCACUUGCUCACAUUGCAAAGUGAAGGUCCCUGCUUGAAAUCCCACUUCUGCUGCAGUACCCUUGAUCAAGAUUGUUUUCUGCAGAGGCCGCCGUUGUGUCAAAGUGCCUAGUUGCAACCCGAGACCCCAUGACCUGGGGUCCGCCUCCUGUGGCAGCUGUCACACACUCUUUCUGUCUCUCACCGGUUCCCUGGCCCUGGAGAUCCCGCCUCCACUAUGAGGGGGCAUCCACAACGCUCCAAACAUAGAAACUAGCAAACGUGAAACUCCAAAGUAGAUCACACCAAGUUCACGUUCCGAAGGCUAAGGACAUGGAUUGUCACCAAGGGCUGUCUUUUCAAAUCCCAUGAGAAUACCCUUGAUAUAGGUACAUUAAGGUGCCGUCAACUGGAUGUCGACUCACGGCGACUCUAUGAAUAGUUGUCCUGAAAAGUGUCCGGUCUUCCGCCAACUGGCUAAGAUUUGGAAGUGGGGCAUCCAUGGCUAUGGACAUUGUGUCGAUCCACUGCACAGCAGGCCUUCUUCUUCUACAUUGACCUUCCACUUUGCCCAGCAUGAUGUCCUUUUCCAUUGACCAUUCUCUCUGCAUGAUGUGCCUGAAGUAAGAGAGUCAAAGCCAUGUCAUCUGAGCUUCCAGUGACAUCUUUGGUCUGAUCUGCUGCAAUACCCACGCAUUUGUUUUCCGGGCCGUCCAGGGUAAACGCAGGAUUCUUCGCCAGCACCAUAGUUCAAAGGCGUCAGUUUUCUUCCAGUCCAUCUUCUUCACUGUCCAACUCUCACAUCUGUAUGAUGUGACCGAGAAGACCACGGCUUGAACUAAUCGGACUUUUGUGUAGAGAGUCACAUCCCUGCACUUGAGAAUUUUGUCCAAGCUCUUCAAGGCAGUUUUGCCAAGAGCAAUUCGUUGUCGGAUUUCCUGGCUGCUUGUUACUUCUUUAUUGGUUAUUAAUCCGAGUAGACUGAAGUUAUCGCUAAUUCUCCUACAUCAGCCUUGGAUGACAUAGAAGAGAAUUUCAGCAGAAACACUGCGCUGUAUCGGCAUCCCCAGCGCAAGCAGAGUCUGAGAGAACUCUGAGCAGAGAACUGCUGGCUGCUUCAUGCUGCUCUGUGGCUGAACCCUCCCCCUGCCCCAACAUCCCUUUUAAUGGGGAGACUCCCUGCUCCUCCGCACUGGACCUUCCCUUGCUCCCCAGCGUGAUUGUGCUGGGCAGAGGGAGACUGGUUGCCAGGGUGAUGAGCAGGAGACAGGUCCCCUUCCUGCAGCCCUUCAUGGACGACUGCGCUGCUACACACCUGGACAGUGACACUGAGAGGGGAGGGAGGAAGCUUUCAUUUAGAGCAUGUUGAAGGAGUCAAAUUAUAAAUGCCAUAGAACCCUUCCAUAUGCUGGCUUGAAUAUACAGUAAGUAUACCUGUACAGGAUGAUACUUGUGAGGCUUCCACAAUCUGCUGUUGAUUUUUGUAGUAUGCAAUAAUACUAGGGACUGUUACAAGAGUGGGUGCUCACACCAGCAUGUGAAUUUUUUUCCUUGCAUAAAAAGGCUUU